GGGCGCUUAGCUCAGUCGGUAGAGCAUCUGACUUUUAAUCAGAGGGUCGCAGGUUCGAUCCCUGCAGCGCCCACCA
rnacentral:tRNA from 1 species